rnacentral:lncRNA from 1 species
GGCUGGCUCGAGCGAUCUGCAGGAAGCCGUACCAGUCUGCAGCUGCCCAGCCAGGGACCAGAGAAAUGCAGCAGGAACCCAUGCUCGUCUGGAAUAAUUCACAGGACCCCGUUCGAGCUCCCUGGUUGAGAUAAAUACAUCGACCCACGCAGGUAGAAUUUUCUUAUCAAGAGUCUCUUUCUCCUCCUGACAUCGGGGGCCAUGGGAGAAGUUUCCCACUUCCAGCUCUGGGGAAAGAGCGGAAACCGAGGUGGCAGGGAGCAGUGUAAAGCCGAGGUGGCUUGGGAGAGGCCUGGGCUGUGGAGUCCCCGGGCGGCUCCCGCGACUUCUCUGGAAUGCUUCCGCGCUGCAGGCCCUGGAUGCUGGCGUGGACGUGCAGGGUGUAGAGCGGCAGGCCCGGAUGGAUGGGCUGGUGCGGGGCUCGGGUCCGAGUGGAGCGGGCAUUCUCGCUUCGCGGCUUGCAACCGGCCUUCACAGUUCAGGCUGCAGCAACAGAAAUAAUGGGACUGACGGCAAGAAAGUAUCCCAACGCUUUCCCGCUCUUCUGGAGCUGCCUCCACCCCCAUCCCCGCCGCCGCAUCCUUCUUUUUGAAUAAACUUACCGAGAA